UGUGUAUAUAUGUAUUAC
rnacentral:piRNA from 1 species